rnacentral:rRNA from 1 species
AACGAACGCUGGCGGCAGGCUUAACACAUGCAAGUCGAACGCCCCGCAAGGGGAGUGGCAGACGGGUGAGUAACGCGUGGGAAUCUACCCAGUUCUACGGAACAACUGAGGGAAACUUCAGCUAAUACCGUAUACGCCCUACGGGGGAAAGAUUUAUCGGAAUUGGAUGAGCCCGCGUUGGAUUAGCUAGUUGGUGAGGUAACGGCUCACCAAGGCGACGAUCCAUAGCUGGUCUGAGAGGAUGAUCAGCCACACUGGGACUGAGACACGGCCCAGACUCCUACGGGAGGCAGCAGUGGGGAAUAUUGGACAAUGGGCGCAAGCCUGAUCCAGCCAUGCCGCGUGGGUGAUGAAGGCCCUAGGGUUGUAAAGCCCUUUCAGCGGGGAAGAUAAUGACGGUACCCGCAGAAGAAGCCCCGGCUAACUUCGUGCCAGCCGCCGCCGUAAAAC